AGGGCAGCAGAGGGAGGGGCGUAGCCCGCCUCCCGGAGAAGGGCGGAGGGAUCCUCGUGGGAGGUGCGCUGACACCACCGAGACGUGGCCGGGCAAGGCCGGAUUGAGGGAGAGAGAGGCCGUCCAGGGCCAGGGACAACGCUACUUCCGGUCUCCUCACUUCCGGCUUCGCUGCUUUUGGUUCUGGUUCUGGAGGCUGGGUUGAGAGGUCGCCGGUCCGACUGUCCUCGGCGGUUGGUCAGUGUGAAUUUGUGACAGCUGCAGUUGCUCCCCGCCCCCGAGCAGCCGAGGUGCGUGGGGGAAGGGGAAGAAGGAAAAGGUCCGGGUCGCGUUUCCGCUCACUUUUUGCCAGGGUUGAGGCGAUUCCAGAGAGCGGUGGAAAGGAUAAGCCUCGACUUAGAAGCUACCGAGUUACUCUAAGAAAGGAGUCUACCAUGGCUCAAGAAUCUCCCAAAAAUUCAGCAGCAGAAAUUCCAGUGACUAGUAAUGGAGAAGUUGAUGACUCUCGUGAACAUAGCUUUAAUAGGGAUUUGAAGCAUUCAUUACCAUCUGGACUUGGUCUCUCAGAAACCCAAAUUACAUCUCAUGGCUUUGACAAUACCAAAGAGGGUGUUAUUGAAGCAGGAGCAUUUCAAGGUUCCCCAGCACCGCCACUGCCAUCUGUUAUGUCUCCUAGCAGGGUUGCAGCUAGUCGACUGGCUCAGCAAGGAAGUGAUUUAAUUGUUCCUGCAGGUGGCCAGAGAACACAGACAAAAAGUGGACCAGUUAUUCUAGCAGAUGAAAUUAAAAAUCCUGCAAUGGAAAAGUUAGAACUUGUUAGAAAAUGGAGUCUAAACACCUAUAAGUGUACUCGACAGAUUAUCUCUGAGAAGCUAGGCCGUGGCUCAAGAACUGUGGACCUUGAACUUGAAGCUCAGAUUGAUAUAUUAAGGGAUAACAAGAAAAAAUAUGAAAAUAUUUUAAAACUGGCUCAAACAUUGUCGACCCAGCUUUUCCAGAUGGUACAUACCCAAAGGCAACUUGGAGAUGCAUUUGCUGACCUGAGUUUGAAGUCACUAGAACUUCAUGAAGAAUUUGGCUAUAAUGCCGAUACCCAGAAACUGCUGGCUAAAAAUGGAGAGACUCUUCUUGGGGCCAUUAAUUUUUUCAUUGCUAGUGUGAACACUUUGGUGAAUAAAACCAUUGAAGAUACAUUAAUGACUGUGAAACAGUAUGAAAGUGCCAGGAUUGAAUAUGAUGCAUAUCGCACUGAUUUGGAAGAACUGAAUCUUGGACCACGUGACGCAAACACUCUGCCAAAGAUUGAGCAGUCACAGCAUCUCUUCCAAGCACAUAAGGAAAAAUAUGAUAAAAUGCGCAAUGAUGUUUCUGUCAAAUUGAAAUUUCUAGAAGAAAAUAAGAAUUAGAGGCGCACUACAGGGAUUGGAAGGAGAUGGAAGUGAAUGAAAGUCAACUUGGAGAGGAUAAAAGGCAGAAUCCUGAUUACCUCACUCUUUGCUUUCAUGAGGCCAAAGCAUAGUCUCUCAGAAAUGCUUCUGUUUUCUGCAAUGUUUUCUGUUUGCAUGGAAAGAGGAGGCAAAAAGUUAAAGAAAAAUAUGCAGAUCAAUGUUAAAGUAUUGCACAAUCAGCUGGUCCUUUUCCACAAUGCCAUUGCCGCUUACUUUGCUGGGAAUCAGAAGCAGCUUGAACAGACACUUAAACAGUUCCAUAUCAAAUUGAAAACCCCUGGAGUGGAUGCCCCAUCUUGGCUUGAAGAACAGUAAAAUCACAGCGGAAAAUAAAAAGAAAGUCGCGUUGUUAUAUUUCUAAACAAACCUAACAAGAAUUAAGCAGAGUUGGGGGAAGUGGGAGGGGUGACAAGCAUUAUAGUGAUUCUUGCACAAACAGCUUUAAUUUUUCCGUUUUUCAUACUUUAACAAUUGAACUGUUAAGGGUGGUUUUAAUGUAAACAGUUUCUAUAAUCUGAACACAAUAAUUUUCCUUUUUGAGAAAUCCUUUUGUAUUGUGAGGGUUGAUGGCUAUUUCUGUAGUUUGAAAACAUCUAAUAGAGAUUUGCACUGACAAGAUAAAAAUUCAAGGUUUUUGGUCCUGGAAAUGAGGGCCGAUUGUAACUUUUCCAAAGGGAGGUUUACAUGAUUUGUAUCAACAUCAGAUAUUUUAUAUGUGAAUAUAUUAAACAUCUUUAAGAGAUUCAUUUUCAUGUAUUAAAGAAAAAAGAAACUAUUUUGCAGAGUAAAGUUAUAUGGUGUUCCUGCAGCGUCCACACAGAGGCAGCAGCUCUAAUGAAUGAUUAGCUUGUGGAGUUGUGGCAAAUACCUUUUUAAAAAUGAAUCUGUACCACUGUAAUUUUAUUUAGACUUUUUUUUAAAGACACAGAAAUCACACUGUCAUUUCUAUGAGGCUUUUAAGCUUAUGAAUUUGCUUCACCCAAAGUCAUUGGACAGUUACAUUUGCAAUUUCUUUUGGUUCAUAACAAAACCUGCUUAAGAGAAUUUUUUUUUUUUGACAGGUGGACGUGGGAAUGGAAAUUCUUAAUUGUUUCUGGAGUAGAAAUCUGUACUUAGAAAACUAGUUUUUGGGUCAGUUCCAUUUUGAUAGAAGUGAAUACAUAGACAGCUUUUAUUGACUUCCAUAUGUAACAAUACCGUUUAAGCCUUAAAUCACAGAUAUGUGCCUUCUCAGAUACAGUAAUUCUUGUUCAAGCAAUGUACAAAAUCCAUAAAGAAACCCCUGUUGGAUAAUGUUUGAUGUGUCUAUUCCUUCCAUGGAAUGGAGCACUAUGUAUGAAUGUUGGGUUUCUUUGUACUUGUUAAGCCACAUUUGAGGUUUAUGGUAAAAGUCAUCUUUUGAGUUUGCUCUUUGGUUUUUCUUCGUUCCUUUUGAGGAUUGGGAAAACAGAAGGAUUCUUUGAUUUGGGUAAUGAAGAGGUAAUUUGGGACAGUGUGGUGGUACCAGGAAGAAAGAGGAUUGGAAAGGCCAGUACUGUUUUAGUUGCUCGGCACUGUUGGUUUUGUUUUAAUGUGGUUGUCCUGUCCACUACAUGGUUCUAUCAGUAGUGUAAUCCAUUUUCAAUGUAAAGCUCUUUUAGUUUUUGUCAUAGACAUAAAUUAAUAUUUUGAGAGGCAUCCCUCACCUGUUCAUUUCUUCUGUGUUGAAAUGAAGUACUUAAAAUUACCGUUAUACAUGAACUUUGUGGACUGUAAGAUUUGUUAUAUAUGUUCAAAUGCCUUUUAGCUGGCUUUUUAAUUAAUAUGCCUGUUUUGAGUGCUUAAUACAAUGUAAUGUGAUUAUAAAUCAUACCUAUUUUAAAUCAUUCCUUCCUGUAUAUUUGUACUCAGAGAGCCUUAUUUUAUUCUUCCAGCAGAAUUACUACUUGUGAUAGUUCAUUUACAUUCCCCAGAAUGUGCCUCUAGUGUGAAUUUUGUAUUCUUAUUAAACGUGUUUGCUGCAGUAAA